UUCUUUAAAAUGCAGAUGUCAAUCAGAAAAAUUCAAAUCAUAUCACCUUGUAUAACCUAGCUGAGACUAACCCCAAAGAGGGAAUAGAAAAUUACAUGGGGGAGGGAAGAGGGGAAAUUUAGAGCUUAGGUCUUGGGUAGAAGUCAGAAUCGUAGGUGGAUGUGAGUGCUCUGGCAAGCUGAAGGCAGGUGAGGAAGCCUGCAGGUAGUGGGGGUGGAUACUGCAGGAGAGGGAGGAGGCAGUCUUUGCCUACUGUGCAGUUUUGCCUAGGGCAGCUAAUUGCUUGUGCCUAGAAAAUUGCCUCUGGAAGCCUUGGGCAAUAUGCGGUAGCUUUUCCCUGAUGCCUAGUUUAUCAGGUUAAGUUGAAAUUUUGUGGGGAGAAAGGGAAGAAUGAUGAGCUGAAAGAAUUCCUGAGCUGAAAGAAACCUGAAAGAUCACCAACUUUUUUCAACAAAGUAUCUCCAAUGAUAAGAGAGGGAACUUGAACCUCCAGGAAUCUGGGGACUUAGCCCAAAGUAACCCACUACAAGUGGGAAUAUCUUUGAAAUCUCUUGGUUUAUCUUAAAACUUUGCACAAAGUUUGUAUUGAUUCAACAUAACCAUGUUUGUUUUAAUAUAAUAAGGCUUUAAAUUACUACACCCAACCCACCAAUCUGUAAAUAAAACUGUCUAAGGCCCUACCCGUGAUAUGUCAAAUGGCUUGGUCAAGACAUUUAACUAGUAAGGGCAAAGAUAGAAUAAGAAGGCGUGAGCCACCGUGCCCGGCUGGUCAUCUUAGCUGUCUAUCUAAUGCCCCAAUCUGAUAAAGAAGUGAAUUAGAUCACUCACAACCACAAAAAUUAGAAGAUAUUUUCAGUGUUCAUUAAAUCUUUUUUAAAAAUCGGAGGAUGCACCACACAUGGCCAAACCCCUUUUUAUUAAUAUUUUAUAGCUUUGCAUGGCAUAUGGAACAAUGUUCCCAAAGAGUCCUA
rnacentral:lncRNA from 10 species